UCNUCCCUUCCGACCUCUGNAUAGCGGCGGACGGGUGAGUAACGCGUGGGCAACCUACCCUUAAGACCGGGAUAACACCUCGAAAGGGGUGCUAAUACUGGAUAAGCUCCUUGUAGGGCAUCCUAUGGGGAGGGAAGGUAGCGGAAGCUACCGCUUAAGGAUGGGCCCGCGUCCCAUCAGCUAGUUGGUAGGGUAACGGCCUACCAAGGCGACGACGGGUAGCCGGCCUGAGAGGGUGGUCGGCCACACUGGGACUGAGACACUUUUCCAGACUCCUACGGGAGGCAGCAGUGGGGAAUCUUGCGCAAUGGGCGAAAGCCUGACGCAGCGACGCCGCGUGAGCGAAGAAGGCCUUCGGGUCGUAAAGCUCGAUAGUGUGGGAAGAAUAGAUGACGGUACCACACGAAAGCCCCGGCUAACUACGUGCCAGCAGCCGCGGUAAGACGUAGGGGGCGAGCGUUGUCCGGAAUUACUGGGCGUAAAGGGCGCGUAGGCGGCCACUUAAGUCAGGUGUAAAAAACCCGGGCUCAACCCGGGGGAUGCACAUGAAACUGGGUGGCNUAGAGGGCAGGAGAGGGGAGUGGAAUUNCCCNGGUGUAGCGGGUGAAAUGCNUAGAUAUCGGGAGGAAUACCAGUGGCGAAGGCGACUCUCUGGACU
rnacentral:rRNA from 1 species